AGCAAGAAUAUUGGGCUUAUGCCCGCUAGGACCUACCUCUCUGCUCUGUUUAAAUCCUUAGACACUUCCUCAAGAAACCACCAUAAAUUGUUGGGUAUAAUAUGCACCCAGGUCGUUUGAAUGCUUAGUAUAGAACUAAAAUUUCCGGAAAAAACUUAAAUAUGUUAUACUUUUGCAUAAUACAAACUUUCUUAAGAAAAACAAAAAUAGGAACGCGUGGGAUUGUACAGAAAAAAAAGUGAAAGAAAAUAAAAAUUGUGAGCUACACAGAUACCAGCUACAGCAACAUAUAAGAAAAUGUUUGAAAAAAAGUUGAAUUUACUAGCAAAAUAAUAGAAACUAGGUGAAAGUUUCAUGGUGUUUUGCUUGUUUUGUUACUCACUGUAAAGUCAACUUUUUCAGGUCGGGUCUCGUUUCCGUACAGAUAAUUGACUCUAGGCUACAUCUGAAUUCUGUUUUAAACCUAAACCUUUAUGUCCAUUUCCUUUACACAUUCUUUUAAAAAGUGUUCCAUAGUCAUUAUUGAGAAUUCUUAAAAAGAAGAAAAGACAAAACAUACAUUUCCAGCGGUUACACUGAAAAAAAAAUGUCAAGGAGGCCAGCAAAGGCAUGCCAACCCGCGGCUCUCGGCUUAAGUGGAAAUCACAUUCAAUCUUCGAAUAAAAGGGACAUGCUGCUCUAUAUAAUUAUACCUGGAACUUCUAUAAACUUCCAGCUGCCCAAAGCUUGUCCCGCAAACCAUAAAUAUAAUUUAAAUCCACACGCAAAAUAAAACCAGCUAUGAUAUGUUGGUUUUAUGUGUCGUCUGCCACUGGCCGUUUUCACUGGCAAUAAUAACCAGUUUCUGGUUAUUUACACAAGGUGAUGGAAAAGUGUCUUUAUCAAACCGUUGCUUUUUAAGGCUUUUUUGAAGAAA